rnacentral:lncRNA from 1 species
AUUUAAGGGUUGGCAGUGGAAGCAAGGACUCCUUUCUGGAUAUUCCUGUAUACCUGAGUCCUGCUGAAGGAUGAGUCACAGCGAGGGACAGGAGGAGCUGAUGAGCAGCCUGCUGGCACACACAGGGCAGGCACACACAGAUCCCACCCCAGUGACACCCAAGGGAUGCGGUUCCCAGCUGGCAGAGAGGGAAACGCAGGAGCUCAAAGCCCUCUGCAAGGGCUGAGCAUCCUUUGCUGACUGUGGGAGCUGAGGGCCUUUUGCAGAUUGCUCCUUCGGGCCCUUUUUAGUUUGGGAUUUCCCUCACAUGCGCUCCAACUGCAUCCUUCUGAAGGGGCUGAGAGCCCUGCAAGGCAUGGGAUGCCAGCAGGUAAUGAACCCUGCUGCUGCUUACACACACACACACGCUCUGUUUUCAGACAGGAAGUGGUUGGUGAUAUAUCUCUCUGCAGCACUGGGUGUUCUGCUGUGUCCCAGCUCCCUGCCACCUCCCCACGUGUCUGCCCACUGCUUUGGCACCAACACUGUGCAGAGAGGGAGGGGACAAUGUGUGGGGGACGGCGAGGGGCUGGGCAGAAAUGAGAUAACACGGGGAUUGAUCUGUCCAAAGGUUAAGGAGCUGAACUUAUUUAACUCCUGUUAGCUUAUUUAUUGUCCCUGAGUUAUAUUUGUGACUACGACUGAGCAGAUUACCGCAGGAUUGCUGGGUAGAUUUAGAAACCCGGGGUGCUUUUCUAGCUCUGUGCAUGUGUUUGUGUGCGUGCGCUGCUGGCUGUGAGCAUUCCCCUUCCCCACUGCCAUCAGGGAUGAAUGUAAGCACUCAUCUGUACAUCUAGAGGCAGAGAAAGGGGAGGGGGGGGGGGGGGGGGGGGGGUUUGAAAUCUUGCUCAUCAGAUCAGAAGCUAAAUUUAUGCUGGGUACAACAUAUGCUCUUUGUUAUACCAUGAAAGUGGUGGGUAAUAAUUCCUCUGUCCUCAGAAACAGGGACACUUACUGCAGUAAAAACAUAUAGAUAUAUAUAAAACCCUCCCACUGGUGGUAAACACAUGCGUCAUGCGUGAUUGCUGGAAGCUGGAGCUGGUAAGCACUGGAUGGGGAUGAGUAAUGUUUGUUAUGGCCCUGUGACUGCCAGGCACUCGGUAGCAGGAGCAGCACAGCAGUGGCAUAGGGCCCAGGAGAGAGACCAAAGUCUCAUCCAAGCUUGGCUGCAGGCUCUUGGCCUGAUCUCUAUGGCCUCCCCACCUCCCCUGGAGCCCCGUGGCUGUAUGGGGCUCACUGCAGGAGUUGGAGGAGUGGGAUGGGUGUCUCCGAGGGGGGCAAGGUGUGUUGCUCAGAUGGUUGGGUGAACGUCUGCUGUUCCAUCAGUUUCUUUUCUACCUCUGUAAAGCAGCCACAAAAAACAAUGACUAAUUUCUCUGUGGAAUAUUCAUCUUUAAAAAGCCAGACCUGGGGCUUUGGUGCCUGUGGAGCCUUCCAGCUCCUCAGGUUGGAAAAAUUUAUUCUCUGAAAGAAUGGUAAUGUUUUGGAACUGCCCAGGGAGUGUUGGAGUCCUCAUCCCUGGAGGUGUUCCAGAGCCAUGGAGAUGUGGCACUGAGUUUUGAGAGUGCCUGGCUUGUAGACCCAGCUGGGAAAGGAUCUAAAUGGGGAGCACAUGGAGAGCUGUCCUGGAUGAGGUCAAGCAUAGCAGUGCCCAGGAUUCCUGCCUGUAUCCAGUGCUCUCUGAUGUGGGGCUGCUACCUGUGCCACCUACCUGCGCUGUGACUUGGCUUCCCAUCCUACAGAAGGGGAGGUAACAGUGGGGGUCUGUGGGUUCCAGCAUCUCACACAGCUGUUUCCUAGGCAGGCACUGUGGGAUAUGGAAAGGGGGGAGGGUUUGCCUGGGAAGGAAGGGGCCAUGACACUGCCAGGAAUAGCACCCAGGCGUCCCGUGACCUCAGCUCUCCUGCACAAAAACCCGAUAAGGUUCCUGGGCACUGAGCAGCCGUAGGAGAGCACUGCAAAGACUGCUGUCUGCGCUGCCUCUGAGGAUGAGCCAAGUACCUAAUAGGAGCUGAUGAGCAGAAUGGCACUGAACCUGACUCAGCUCCAACGUUAGCCUCCAUUCACCCUCUGCUGUCGCUAUGGGGAGAUGUGCUGUCCCACACUUCCUAAGCGCGUCUCACGCUUUCUCUGCAGCCUUCUCAGUUUCUCGGGUGCAAAACCCAAGCUUUGGACAACGGCAGAAGCAGUCAAUUAUGUUCUCACUCUGUCUGCUUUGGAAGUCCUGGAGUGUGCUGGUGUGACCACAGCCGUAGGAGCGGGGCGGUUCGGGAUAAAUCAGAAACAAAAGGGCCAUUAUCCAUAUGGGACCCCAUGAGCGCACCGCAUACCCCAGCAAUCCCGAGCACUCUGUGUACGGUUCUCGCUUGGUUUUAACUCAAUUUCUUUGAGAUGCAAAUUAGAGGGAUUAUAUUCAGAGGCUACAUCAGAAAGUCUUUAAUCCAAAUGGGCUAUAAGAUUUAUUUGGAAGAGCCAAAUGUCUUGUCUGGGACAGAAGCAACCGAGCUGAACUGAAACAGAUGGACAUAAAGGAAAUUAAGCAACUCUAAUGGUCUUAUCCAGAGUUUCAAAGUAUUUGGUCUUCGGAAAGCUCCAGCUCCUGGAAGCACGUGAUGAGACGGGGAGCUCAAGUUUCAUUUCAAAACAGGCUUUGCAGUUCACUGAGAAAGACAAUAAUAAUGUUUUUAUUCCUCCUGUGUACGGAGGGAAGGCUGCCUUCCAAACCCCGGCUCCUCAGCUCAGCUCAUGACGUCAGAUGGAAGCGUAUUGCACAACGUUUGCAUUCCUCGUCUUCAUCACAGUGUGGUUAUUUCUGUGGGCUGGAUUUGGGAUUUUGGAAGGCUGAUGGUUCUUGGGGUGCCGGGAGGUGGUCCUCCUCAUCUCUGCAAGGGGAAAGCAUCUGCAGCCUGAGCAGUGAGCAGCAGCAGCCCUCCUGCUUGCAGCUGCACCAUGCCCUGCUUGGCUCAGUGCUGAGUACCCGGAGCAGAGGAGCUUCACGUGUCUGCACGUUUGCCAUCCUUCACCCCAGUGCUUUUGGAUUCGGAUUAAAUAAAAGGGGAUGCGUGGUGGUUGGGGCAUUGGCAUCAACCUAUGGAACAGCCGUUGCGGUGCAGGGCUUGGGAAGGAAGCCACCACCUCCUUCAGCUCCUCCCAUUGAUCUGGACUGGGGAAGGCUCAGCUCCCACCCUGUGCUCGGUGUCCCAGUCCCACAGUGACCAUCCUCAGACCCAGCGCCGUCACCAGGAGCGGAGCAUUGCCCUUCACACACCAUUAUUCCUCACUCCCCAGAGCCUUUUUGUCUCUUAUCAGCAGUGACCCCCGGGCUCUGUUAUCUCCCCCCAGCCAUCCACCCAAGCCAUAGAGCUGUCAGCGUGGGGAAUGACCUUCACCUCCUCGCUCACCUCCAGGAGAUGCUGUGUCCGCUCGGCCGGCUGCGUGGUUGGCUGCAGCAGCACUGCCUGCUGCCCGGAGCCAGGUAAUUACAGCACCCGUUACGGUUCAGCAGGCACCUUCAUUAAUAAACCUCAAGUUUCCGAGGUGCCUAACUCAGCCAUUGGAAACCACAUCUGGCUGUAACUCUACGGCGUGUCUAAGCUUUCAGCUCAUCUCCGACUGCCUAAGCGGUUUACAGGAUGGGCUGUAAACAAAGUCUGUUUUGUUGGGGUUUUGCAUGCUUUGAGGAAAAGAAAGCAAACACGUCCACUGGGCUCAUCUCGUCGGCGCAGAGCUGGGGGCUGACAGCUCCUUCUCACGUUAUCCCAAUGGGAUUUUUUGCUUCUGAUAUAGCCCAAAUAAUGAACGUAUGGAGUCCUCCCAUGCACGCAUAGUCUGGUGCUUGGCGCUGGGCAGGAUCCUUGCUGCCAAGUGACAUCUGCAUGCAAGGCGAAGUGUGGAGGUUAACUUCUGGAACCACUGGGCAGUCCCAGCCUUUUUAGGAUAGAACCUCUAUAAAUACUAUUUCCUGAUAUUUCCCAUAGGCAAAUGGGAGCUGAAGAGCUACAACAGGAGCCUCUGCAGCCCACAUGCCAGCAGCAGAUCUGUUUUCUGACUGACCCAACAGCAGGGCCCUUCUUGGGACUGGCUAAACGUGGUUACUGAUGCCUACUAAGUAGCUUCUUCCAUGUGCUUGGGUGAAUAAAUUACCCUACAGCUUCCAUCAUCUCGAAGGGCUUGAGCGCAUCCUCUGGCACAAGGCUGGCUUGCAGGAGGAGCAGCCACCAAUGGGAAGGAUGGAGUUAAAUUCCAUAGAGGUGUACAGAGCGGAGAUGGGGUAAGGAGAUGGGUCGGGCAUCAAAGAGAGUGGGCAGGCAAUGUGCAGCUGUAACCAUCCCCACCCAUCGGCAAAACACCCCCUCUAGUAACCCACCAGAGCUCAAAGGCAAGCGAGUGCACGUCUGCGUGGGGGAGCUCCGGGGUGUGCAGCUGGGAGGGAGGAAUGGGCUGCUGGGGGGGCUGGACUGCUGGGCUGGGCUGUGUCCCCAGCUCAGAGCCUCCCCUGGCUGUGGGACAGAGGUUUGUGGUGUUUGGGAAGCAGGAUUUUGGUGCAGGGGACAUCCAGACUCUUGGGUACCAUCCUGCUGAAGGGCACCAGUGUGCCUGCAGCCCUUUAUUCUAGCACCAGGUGCUGGGGAUGCAAUGGGCUUGGACACCUUCGGGGCCAAUGCUCACCAUGACAUUGGGUAUGGGCUGCCAACCUGAAAGUGAGCAGGGCUCUGUAGGAAAGGCAGAAAUUUCUGCUCUGCAUCCCCGUCACAGAGCAGGUGGGGGCCACCUGUGUGUUUCCCAGGUGCUUUUCCACCCUGGGGAGUUGGAGAGGAGGUGGCAGCGUUGUCUGUGGGUUGUUGCUGAACUCGCUCAUGGAUUGCUAAUGAUGUUUGUGAAAGCCUUGAACGAAGACCACACAUGGGAGGCUCAGGCGAGUGAUGUACCUUAGACCUGGAGGGUGCGAGGGAAAAAUGCUUCUGUGCCUGACUCACCGGCUCUGUGCUAACACUGACUCAUAAGUACUGAUUUUGAUUCAGGAAAAAAAAAAAAGAAAAGAUUUAUCUGCAUUCAGACCUAUGGAAGAGGCCAAUGCAACCCGCUAAUGAAGAGGGGAGGUGGUGCUGCUGCGCUGUCCACAGCCCCAUGUGAGGCGUGGGGAGAGCAUGGCAGAUUGGCACUGGGGGCUGUGAUGAGCCCUGGAGAUGGGGAGGGUCCGGUGACCCCCAACCCUGCACAGAGUUGGAUGAGGGAGGGAGAUUUCCUUGGGCCGCAUGGGUACCUCUGGCUCAUUUUCCCAUGGCUUGGCACAGGCAGGCAGCUCUGCAGAUGAAGAUGUCUCACGAGCAGCACGUCGGACCUGAACGCGUGUUUGUGUGGUUCCCCUGCCACCAGCACAACGGGAGCUACACGGCGGCCAGCCAUGCAGAGCCAACAAGAAAAGCCUGCUGAAGAAAGGCACCGGCGCUGACAAUACCCGUUUGCAGGACGGAUUAAGCUUAGAGCAGUGUCUGGGCUUUGUGAAGGGGCAGCUCUGAGCUCCGUGCACGCAGCGUGGUGGCAGGAGGCUACAAAAGCUGGGAUCCCACACAGCCCUAUUGCCAAGCAGUGCUAACCCGGCCCGUGCGAGGCUCAGUCCCCAUCACUGCCAGGACCUGCCACCUCCUGCCCUGCCCUGCCCUCUCCCGGUGCCCUGCCUGUGCCACUUUGCCCCCCUGCUGCUCAACCCUGCUGGAUGCUAAGUGGAAAUCCCCCCCCCCCCCCCCCCCCCCAUGCCAAGUGUUAAAUACUUAUCAAGCUAAUACAGCGUCUUUGUGGAGGUGCGUACAUGAGACAACAUGUUACCAUAAUUAACGAGCAGCUGGAGUUGGCAUCGCGCUGCAGAUGCUGGCGGCGGCUCCCAGCGCCUUUCCCAGGGCUGCAGCUCUGCCCUUCCCCAAUAGUAGGAAAGUGCUGAGUGGGGGGAAUGCCUUGUAGGUCUCUUCCCACCUCGCAGGGGGUGGUGGCGGCUUCCAGCCCGGGGUCUGCAGAGCCGUGGAGGUCUGGGACUGUUUCUGGGUUGGGCAAAUGGGUCUGUUGCCAGCAGGCAAAUGCUUAUACGGGAGGUGAGGAGCUGUUGUGGGGGGCACUGGGUUGGGAGCUGUAAGGAAUCCUGCUGCUGGAGACUCUGGGAGUGAUGGCUUGUCCCUGUGCCAUUGAUGUGGGUGUGGAAUCGCAAGGGCUGGGGCAGCGAUGGCCAGGUGGCACUGGGAUGUGUGUGAUGGGUGUCAGGGACCAAUGGUGGCACCAGUGGUGGAGAAAGCUUGGGAGGAGGGGAGAGGGGCUGGGAUGGGGCUGUGAGCGCAGCCCUGGGGAGGAAGGUGGCAGAGCGGGGUGGUUGGUGGUCAUUUACUUGGUCAGACCUUUUGAGAUGAUGUGGAUCCAUCCCUCUGCUCAGCCCUAAGCAGAGCAGCUGCACAACCCCCCCAUCCUUUUGAAUUGCCUUGAGCUCCCUAACUUUCCAGCCCUGGAGAAGUCAUUGCAGCAGUUGAUGUUUGUAUCAUGACCUACGUUGCUAUUGGGUUUUAAAUAGAUAUAUUUUUACUGUGCUGUAUGCUAGCUUCCCACAUGCAAAUUGCUCUGAGUGAGCCAUUUAUCUGGAAAAUAAAGGUUAUGUUCUCAAAAGGCA